rnacentral:rRNA from 1 species
GGUGAACGCUGGCGGCGUGCCUAAUACAUGCAAGUCGAACGCACAGCGAAAGGUGCUUGCACCUUUCAAGUGAGUGGCGAACGGGUGAGUAACACGUGGACAACCUGCCUCAAGGCUGGGGAUAACAUUUGGAAACAGAUGCUAAUACCGAAUAAAACUCAGUGUCGCAUGACACAAAGUUAAAAGGCGCUUUGGCGUCACCUAGAGAUGGAUCCGCGGUGCAUUAGUUAGUUGGUGGGGUAAAGGCCUACCAAGACAAUGAUGCAUAGCCGAGGUGAGAGACUGAUCGGCCACAUUGGGACUGAGACACGGCCCAAACUCCUACGGGAUGCUGCAGUAGGGAAUCUUCCACAAUGGGCGAAAGCCUGAUGGAGCAACGCCGCGUGUGUGAUGAAGGCUUUCGGGUCGUAAAGCACUGUUGUACGGGAAGAACAGCUAGAAUAGGGACUGAUUUUAGUUUGACGGUACCAUACCAGAAAGGGACGGCUAAAUACGUGCCAGCCGCCGCGGUAA